CCAUUACACAGCUUUGCCCUGCUGCCCUGGAGGACAAAUGUGGUUUCUUCAAACAGAUUUUAUUCCUUGGACUUGGAUGAUCUCACAAAACUGAAUGUAAUUCUUUACCAAGGAAGGAUUGUUGCGAGUCAUCAAUUUGAAAUGGCUUGUGGAGCAGUGACUACUUAGGGCUCCUGUGAAGAUGGAAUGAGAUGGAUAGGAGAGAGAACUGGGACAAAGUUUGGAGUGAAUGUGUCACGAAAGAGG
rnacentral:lncRNA from 1 species